ensembl:lncRNA LINC02378 long intergenic non-protein coding RNA 2378
GAUUUGUCUUCUUGUCUCAAUAAGUGUAAGAAGUGGGUAGAGGAUGGAAAGGGAGAAGAAAGGAUUAAAGUUAAGCCUGAAUGUUUCAUUCUCCACCUUAACAUGACCGCAUCUACUAAUAGCCAAUAAAAUGAAUUGGCCUCUCUACUGGGCUGCUUGACCUUCCUCAUGACAUGGCAGUUGGUUUUUCCCAGAGCAGAUAAGAACAACCAUGAUUCAAUAUGUGAGUAGGCUAUACAGGAGACAGGAACCAUUGGGAGCCAUUUUGAACACUCUCUACUACAGGAUCAAAAGCAAAUAAUUACAAAACAGUACAUCAAUGCAACAAUGGCAUUAUAUGUAAGAAUUUUGGAGGGAAAUCACGAGAAAACUGAAGACAUCUGUCCACCAAGAAAAGCACAAAAGCUAUAAACUGAAGAUAGAUAUAUUUUCAACUAACUGCAGUCUUCAAACAUCCUCAUGGAAUGAUCUGCUUGAAAACCACACCCACAGAGUCUUAUAAAUAUUUUAUCUGCUUUUGACCUCUUCAAUCAGUCUCUGCAAGAUUUUGUUAAGAUUGUGAUCUUCUUUGUUAUGGGUGAUACCGGCCUCAGGAAAUAAGUAUGGAAAUGUUCUCUCUUUUUAUCUAUUUGGAACACUUUCAAAAAUAAUAAAAUAUUGAGGAAUAAAUACAACCAAAGAAGAGAAAGACUUCUGUAUUUCACACUACAUAUUGACAAAAGAAAUGUUAAAAGACAAAGAUAACUGAAAGGGCAUCUCAUGUUCAUGGAUUUGAAGAAUACCAUUAAAAUGCCCAUUACUUUCAAAGCAA